AGAAAAUUUUGCUGUGAUAAUUUAUAAAUUAGUAAUAAAUAAAAUUUUAUUACAAAGCAAAUAAUGAAAAAGUUGUACCCAUUAUCAUCAAUCCUCUACGCACGCAGCGUGUCUCUGCCAGCUGGACUGCACACUACCUCAUCUCCACCUCUCUUUGGGUUUCUCUCUCUCUCUGGAAGGACUAGAGCAGCAAACGCCAUGUCGUCGGACGAUGAGGGAGGAGAGGAGUACCUUUUCAAGAUCGUGAUUAUUGGGGACUCUGCUGUGGGCAAAUCCAAUCUCCUGUCUCGGUAUGCGCGGAACGAGUUCAAUUUGCACUCCAAGGCCACCAUAGGUGUGGAAUUCCAGACCCAGAGCAUGGAAAUAGACGGCAAGGAAGUCAAGGCUCAGAUUUGGGACACCGCCGGUCAAGAGAGGUUCCGUGCUGUAACUUCUGCUUACUAUAGAGGUGCUGUUGGUGCUCUCAUUGUGUACGAUAUUAGCCGCCGCACUACUUUUGAUAGCGUUGGUCGUUGGCUUGAGGAGCUCAAGACUCAUUCUGAUACAACUGUGGCAAGGAUGCUGGUUGGGAACAAAUGUGAUUUAGAGAAUAUCAGGGAUGUUAGUGUUGAGGAAGGCAAAAGCCUUGCAGAAGCAGAAGGAUUAUUUUUCAUGGAGACAUCCGCCCUUGAUUCAACAAAUGUUAAAAAGGCUUUUGAGAUUGUUAUCCGAGAGAUUUAUAAUAAUGUGAGCCGGAAAGUCUUGAACUCGGAUACAUACAAGGCUGAAUUGUCAUUGAACAGGGUAACUCUUGUUAAUAAUGGGACUGACGGAUCAAAACAAUCUCAGAACUAUUUUUCAUCUUGUUGCUCCAGGUGACCUCCAUUCUUCUCAUCUCAAAAUGGCAUACAAGUUCAGGGCUUUUUCGUGGUUGGUUUGUUGAUUUAAUUUGGUUGGUUGCUUUGUUCCUUGAUGAGUAUGUCUUCAUGGUUCUUUAAUUGAAAAAUAAGUUUAUAUUAUAGAGAUAAAUUAUUUAGUGCAAUACGAAAAGGGGCAGACAUGAUUCUGAACAGAAUAGAGAUGUAUCUGUUAAUUUAUUGUAACUUGUUUUUAUGGUGGACCGUUGAUAAAUGUCUUCAAAAUUUUAUUGUUGUUUCUUUUGAUCCUCUCCACCUCUUAGACAGGGCAUACUUUUGUUCUAAGUUUUCUGAUGUUCUAAAUAGUAAGGAAAGAUUUUCUUGAUAUUGCAGUUGUGCAUACAUUU
rnacentral:misc_RNA from 1 species